ACGAAAAUGGAAUCAGGGUUACAAAAUGGAGAUUAUCUUCAUUGAUGAGAAGGGUGCUAAGAUUCAAGGAGGUAUUAAGAGUCAUCUGAUACCUGUUUUUGAUGGACAGCUGCAAGAAGAUGCUGUUGUGAUUCUUUCGAAGUUUGGUGUUGAGCUUAUGAAGAUAUUCUUCAAGGAGAGGCGUUAAACGCUUUGAGUGUUGAUGUUGCUGGAUCUGUGAUUUCUUGUGGAGAUCUUGAAAUCUUUGAUCGAC